rnacentral:rRNA from 1 species
CCCUUAGAUGUCCUGGGCCGCACGCGCGCUACACUGAUGCAUGCAACGAGUCUAGAACCUUGGCCGGAAGGCCUGGGUAAUCUGUGAACGUGCAUCGUGAUAGGGAUAGAUUAUUGCAAUUAUUAAUCUUGAACGAGGAAUUCCUAGUAAACGCAAGUCAUCAGCUUGCAUUGAUUACGUCCCUGCCCUUUGUACACACCGCCCGUCGCACCUACCGAUCGAAGGUAAUGAUGAGCCCUCAGGAUUGUGGCCGGGACGCGUUCGCGCGACCUGUGCCGUGAGAAUUUGUGCAAAUCCCUACCUUUAGAGGAAGGUGAAGUCGUAACA